ACGGGGGGUGCGAGCGUUGUCCGGAAUCACUGGGCGUAAAGGGCGCGUAGGUGGUCUGAUAAGGGUGUGGUGAAAGCCCGGGGCUCAACCCCGGGUCGGCCGUGCCGACUGUUGGACUAGAGUGCUGUAGGGGCAGGCGGAAUUCCUGGUGUAGCGGUGGAAUGCGCAGAUAUCAGGAGGAACACCGGUGGCGAAGGCGGUUCUCUGGGCAUUACCUGACGCUGAGGAGCGAAAGUGUGGGGAGCGAACAGGA
rnacentral:rRNA from 1 species